rnacentral:lncRNA from 1 species
CCGCCGUUUUCUUUGCCAAGAGCUAUAGAACGCGCUCGUCAAACAAGCAUGGUUUGCCGAGAGCUUCACGGCGCCGCUCGGCAAAGAGCUCCUUCUCUCGGCAAACUAAUUUUUAUUUUUUUUUCCUUUUGCCCUGAGAUUUUUUUGUUAGUUUUCCCACUUAUAUUUGGUCACAAUAAUGAAAGUUGAGCCAUUUCUAAUAAAUAUAGCUAUAUUUCAUGCAUUUCUUUCGUUUCAUUGAAUUUUUUCGAUAAAUGCAUAUUUGAACAGCACGUGCAUGAUCAUAAGUUGGAUCUCUAGGUUUGUGAGCAUGUUGUGUGACGCCGUGCACAAAACGUUCUCAAAUUUUUACCAUAGGCUCCGCAUGUGAUAUCAUGACACCACACCAAGUUUCAUGUUUUUUUGGAAUUAGUUUGCAAUUAAUAUAAUUUAAAAACGAUUGACCUCCAAAUUUGAAGUCGUGUUCCGUCAACCCGAGGUGCGAGAGUUCGGGCCUGUACAUCCACACGGCCUUAUUUCACACUAAAUAAUAACAACGUCAACUUCCCAUGCAUAGAAUUCCAUUAUUUCAUGCACGUGCAGUUCAAAUAUGCAUUUAUCAGAAAAAUUCAAUGAAACGAAAGAAAUGCAAGAAAUAUAGCUAUAUUUAUUAGAAAUGGCUCAACUUUCAUUAUUGUGACCAAAUAUAAGUGGGAAAACUAACAAAAAAUCUCAAGGCA